GAUGAACGCUGGCGGCGUGCUUAACACAUGCAAGUCGAACGGGAUCCAUCAGGCUUUGCUUGGUGGUGAGAGUGGCGAACGGGUGAGUAAUGCGUGACCGACCUGCCCCAUACACCGGAAUAGCUCCUGGAAACGGGUGGUAAUGCCGGAUGCUCCAGUUGAUCGCAUGGUCUUCUGGGAAAGCUUUCGCGGUAUGGGAUGGGGUCGCGUCCUAUCAGCUUGACGGCGGGGUAACGGCCCACCGUGGCUUCGACGGGUAGCCGGCCUGAGAGGGCGACCGGCCACAUUGGGACUGAGAUACGGCCCAGACUCCUACGGGAGGCAGCAGUGGGGAAUAUUGCACAAUGGGCGCAAGCCUGAUGCAGCGACGCCGCGUGAGGGAUGGAGGCCUUCGGGUUGUAAACCUCUUU
rnacentral:rRNA from 1 species